rnacentral:rRNA from 1 species
AUUGAACGCUGGCGCAUGCCCUACACAUGCAAGUCGAACGGCAGCGGGGGAGAAGCUUGCUUUUCCUGCCGGCGAGUGGCGAACGGGUGAGUAAUACAUCGGAACGUGCCCUGUAGUGGGGGAUAACUAGUCGAAAGAUUAGACAAUACCGCACACGACCUGAGGGUGAAAGGGGGGGACCGCAAGGCCUCAUGCUAUAGGAGCGGCCGAUGUCUGAUUAGCUAGUUGGUGGGGUAAAGGCCUACCAAGGCGACGGUCAGUAGCUGGUAUGAGAGGACGAUCAGCCACACUGGGACUGAGACACGGACCAGACUCCGACGGGAGGCAGCAGUGGGGAAUUUUGGACAAUGGGGGCAACCCUGGUCCAGCCAUGCCGCGUGAGUGAAGAAGGCCUUCGGGUUGUAAAGCUCUUUGAGCGGGGAGGAAGGUUCGCUAUCUAAUACAUGGCGGAAUUGACGUUACCUGCAGAACAAGCACCGGCUAACUCUGUGCCAGCAGCCGCCGUAAGAC